GCCACGGUACCAGAGUGGUCCAAUGGACAGGUCUGCAAAACCUCGUUUCGCGGGUUCGAAUCCCGCCCGUGGCU
rnacentral:tRNA from 1 species